GAGGCUUCAAAGGCACAGCUGGGUUCGUUCUCCCUCCUCAGAUGGCGGGCGGAGCCGGCUUCUACGCUCAGCGGCCCUCAGUGUGCUCAUGGAGGGUGUCCAGAGCUUCCACUAGCGGCCUGGGCUUCAGCUGCCUGCCUGGCUCUGCAGCUCGGGGUGUGGUCAGUGGGGACACCUGAGCAGGAAUAAUCAGGACUCACUGAGCCCUGGGUGUGCAUGCCUGCUGCCCAGGAUUCCUGCUGUGGAGGACUUGGACCUGGCUGAUGCCUUCUGCCCCACAGAGCUCCACUGGUGAUAGACCAGGGACUUCCAUCCUGAGCCCUGACCCCCCACUGGGACUCCCAACAUCUCUGACAGCAGCUGCACUGGGUUCACCUGGAGCCUUGCACCCCCACCGGGGACUCCCAACACCCUUGACAGCAGCUGCUCUGUCCCCUCC